ensembl:misc_RNA 7SK 7SK RNA
GGAUGUGAGGGCUGUGAUGUCUGUCACCCCAUUGAUCGCCAGGGUGUGGCUGUGACCUCUUUCACUCCAUUGAUCACCAGGGUUGAUUCGGCUGAUCUGGCUGGCUAGCCGGGUGUCCCCUUCCUCUCACUGCUCCAUGUGCGUCCCUUCUGAAGCUGCGCUCCCACCGCACAGUGGAAGAGGACCGACCUUCCCCAAUCGAGGAGGACUGCUCUUCAAUCAAGGGUAUCGGAGUAGCUGUGCUCCCCUGCGAGAACCUCCCAGUAAGCUCUCAAGGUUUGUUUUACCUAGUGGGUUAUCACUGAAGGAAGAUAAACAGAAGCCCACCUUCUGGUGAGCUAAAGGAGGGUUUCUGU